CCUCAGUGGCCCCAGCUCCUCAGCACUCCCGGCUCUUGUCAGCCUGUGCCACCCUUGGUGCCUGCUCCUGUCCAAGCCCUGGGGCCUGAGCCUGGAGCUGCCCCCUGGAUCCCGCUGUGCACCUCUGCUGGGACCCAAGGCCAUUGGCGAGUUGUCUUCCGCCAUCCAGGCCCAGUGUAUUACACAGUGCUCCACAUGGUAAAAGCCCAACAUUUGUGUAUUACUUGGAGAAUCACGGAAGGUCAGACCCAAGAGGAAACUUAAGAGCACUGGUUCUGGGAGAAAAAAGUAAGAGAAUCCAAGACAUGAACAUCAGUAACAUUCCUAGGCUUGCCUCUGAGAUCAGAUUGUCUUCCUUUGCAGCUAACUGAGAACCGCAUGCACAGUUCUAGCCAAUGAGACACACAGGGUUUGCUCAUACCGAUGGUCUGCUGGGGAUCCAUGGGAACUCCUUACUUCUUCCUCCUUCCACUUGCCCUGACUGUGCGCAUGAUGAUUGGAAUUCCUGUAACCAUGUUGGGACAAUGAAGAAAAGGCCAAAAGGAUCUCAGGGAGAUAAUCCUAGACGUGGUUGAACUGAGAAACCAACACCAGCAACCAUCUGUUUCCUGACUUCAUUCUAUAUAAGAAAAACAAACUCCGGUUUGUAUAACACUGAAGUC
ensembl:lncRNA